rnacentral:rRNA from 1 species
UACGGGGGGAGCAAGCGUUGUUCGGAUUUACUGGGCGUAAAGGGCGCGUAGGCGGCCAGCACAAGUCAGUUGUGAAAUCUCCGAGCUUAACUCGGAAAGGUCAACUGAUACUGUGCGGCUAGAGUGCGGAAGGGGCAACUGGAAUUCUUGGUGUAGCGGUGAAAUGCGUAGAUAUCAAGAGGAACACCUGCGGCGAAGGCGGCUUUCUGGUCUGCUCUUGACGCUGAGGCGCGAAAGCUAGGGUAGCAAGCGGG